rnacentral:rRNA from 1 species
CCUACGGGCGGCAGCAGUGGGGAAUAUUGCACAAUGGUGGAAACCCUGAUGCAGCGACGCCGCGUGAGUGAGGAAGUAUUUCGGUAUGUAAAGCUCUAUCAGCAGGGAAGAAAAUGACGGUACCUGACUAAGAAGCACCGGAUAACUACGGGCCAGUAGCCGCGGUAAUACGUAGGGGGCAAGCGUUAUUCGGAUUUACUGGGUGUUAAGGGAGCGUAGACGGCUAAUCAAGUCAGAAGUGAAAACCCAGGGCUCAAACUUGGGACUGCUUUUGAAACUGAGUAGCUAGAGUGCAGGAGAGGUAAGCGGAAUGCCUGGUGUAGCGGUGAAAUGCGUAGAUAUUAGGAGGAACUCCAGUGGCGAAGGCGGCGUACUGGCCUGUAACUGACGUUGAGGCUCGAAAGCGUGGGGAGCAAACAGGAUUAGAUACCCGAGUAGUC